rnacentral:rRNA from 1 species
UACAGAGGGUGCGAGCGUUAAUCGGAGUUACUGGGCGUAAAGGGCGCGUAGGCGGUUAUAUAAGUGAGAUGUGAAAUCCCUGGGCUUAACCUAGGAACUGCAUCUCAUACUGUAUGACUGGAGUAUUGUAGAGGGUAGUGGAAUUUCCGGCGUAGCGGUGAAAUGCGUAGAGAUCGGAAGGAACACCAGUGGCGAAGGCGGCUACCUGGACAAAUACUGACGCUGAGGCGCGAGAGCGUGGGGGAGCAAACAGG